AUCCAGAUGACGAAUCCCAAAUAGGACGAAACGCGCAUCCUGGAU
rnacentral:hammerhead_ribozyme from 1 species